rfam:Phytophthora infestans T30-4 supercont1.21 genomic scaffold, whole genome shotgun sequence.
GCCCGUCUAGUUCAGUCCAAUAGAGCGCAAGACUGUUAAUCUUGUGGUCGUGGCUUCGAGCCCCACGGUGGGUG